UCCCCGUUUGAGCGAGGCAGUCUGUCCAGAGUGCUCCCUACUCUCGUAGGGGUGGCAACAGGACGCAAGGGUUGCGCUCGUUGCGGGACUUAACCCAACAUCUCACGACACGAGCUGACGACAGCCAUGCAGCACCUGUGUUCGCGUUCCCUUUCGGGCACACCCGCCUCUCGGCAGGCUUCGCGACAUGUCAAGGGUAGGUAAGGUUGUUCGCGUUGCAUCGAAUUAAUCCACAUCAUCCACCGCUUGUGCGGGUCCCCGUCAAUUCCUUUGAGUUUUAACCUUGCGGCCGUACUCCCCAGGCGGCUCACUUCACGCGUUAGCUACGGUACCAAGGAAUCGCUUCCCCAACACCUAGUGAGCAUCGUUUAGGGCGUGGACUAC
rnacentral:misc_RNA from 1 species